AAUGUUUUUUAUUGUAGUUAAUCUACAGGUGGUACCUGUAUAAUUAUCUUGUUAUAUCUGCAUAAAAUUUGAGCUCAAUGUUACUUUUUUGUUUCAGAUUCAAAGGUUUGUCGUUAAGUAAAGAGCAGUUCUCAGCAGCUGCCAAACUGAUCAAAUCAAGGAUGAUAAUGGAGGAAGGGGGAGAUUCAGGUCCAGCUGCACUGUCCCUUGGCUCUAAUAAAGAUCAGGAUGACAUCUUGCUGGAGAUGUUCUACAAAAUGGAGCCGCAACCCAAGAGACCGCGGACUGUUCACCAAGAAUUGAACGAUUAUUUUGACUCCCCAGUUGAGCCCUACCACUGCGAUCCUUGGAAAUGGUGGCAAGAAAACGCAGUACAAUACCCAGCUUUAGCAUCUGUCGCUCGAGACUUAUUUGUGGUUCAACCAUCUUCGGUGCAGUCCGAAAGAAUCGUGUCCUCCGUCAAUGCAGUGUUAACAGAUGAGCGGAGUAGGUUACUUUCAAUGCGGUUAGGAAAAAUAGUAUUCUUGAAAAGCCUUACUACAGACGCUUGGGAUGCCAUAAUCUACAAUCAAAUUUAAAUUUCAGCUGAGAAAA